GACGAACGCUGGCGGCGUGCCUAAUACAUGCAAGUAGAACGCUGAAGGAGGAGCUUGCUCUUCUGGAUGAGUUGCGAACGGGUGAGUAACGCGUAGGUAACCUGCCUGGUAGCGGGGGAUAACUAUUGGAAACGAUAGCUAAUACCGCAUAAAAUUGAUUAUUGCAUGAUAGUCAAUUAAAAGGUGCAAUUGUAUCACUACCAGAUGGACCUGCGUUGUAUUAGCUAGUUGGUGAGGUAACGGCUCACCAAGGCAACGAUACAUAGCCGACCUGAGAGGGUGAUCGGCCACACUGGGACUGAGACACGGCCCAGACUCCUACGGGAGGCAGCAGUAGGGAAUCUUCGGCAAUGGACGGAAGUCUGACCGAGCAACGCCGCGUGAGUGAAGAAGGUUUUCGGAUCGUAAAGCUCUGUUGUAAGAGAAGAACGAGUGUGAGAGUGGAAAGUUCACACUGUGACGGUAUCUUACCAGAAAGGGACGGCUAACUACGUG
rnacentral:rRNA from 1 species